rnacentral:tRNA from 1 species
AAGGUACUAGUAAAAUAGAACAUUACACUGCUUUGUCAAGGCAGAAUUGCUGGUUAAAACCCUGCGCACCUUA